UACUUCCAGCUCCUGUUACGCCACCGUCGCGCCACUGUCAGAUUCAGAAGAAGAGAGUCGUGUCUUCUUCUUCCAGCUCCUCUUUCGCUUGCUCUUGGAUCUCGGUUUGGCCGGUGUUCAAAUGGGUUCACAUGGGUUCCCCUGAAGAAUUUGCUACAGAUCUCAAAUCUCUCAAUCCUAUGUAAGAAUAGGAUUGAGCUGUCGUCAAUUUAGUCGCCGCCUCUGUUGCGAUUAGCAAGGGCUAACAUUGGAUUAGGACAAGGCCAUUAAGAGGUUCAUUGUGAGGAACAUUGUGGAGCAGGCUGCUAUCAGAGAUGUUCAGGAAGCCAGUGUCUACGAUGGAUACAUAUACCUUACCUAAGCCGUAUGCAAAGACUCAGUACUGUGUCUCUUGUGCUAUCCACUCUCAUGUUGUGAGAGUUCGAUCCCGCACCAACCGUAGGGUCCGUACUCCUCCCCCCCGUUUUGUCAGACGCAAGGGUUCUAAACGGAUACAGGAUCUAAACGGGCAGGAUAUAAACGGGUCCAAAACGGGCAGGGCUUAAAUGGGCAGAGUCUAAAUGGGCAGAGUAGUCCCAUUUUAACAUCACUACUUGUAACGCAAGAAAAUAUAACUUGGAAAAUGAUGGUAGAAGACAAUCCCAAUGCCUUUGGUUCCGCCAGUGACUAGAGAGGUCAUGCCUUGAAGACUCCAUCUGCUGCUCUGUUCUUCUCUAGCCAUUGUUGUGUGAUGAUUUAUGUUCUUGUUUGAUGAGAAUUGAUAAUGAAAGUAAUGGCUAUAUAUAACGAAUAAACUGAUACGAGGUAAUGAGAAUGUUCAAAGUAA